AAUAGCGGAGGAAAAGAAACUAACAAGGAUUCCCCUAGUAACGGCGAGUGAAGCGGGAAGAGCUCAACAUUGUAAUCUGGCUGCUUCGCAGUCCGAGUUGUAGUCUAUAGAAGCAUGAUCCGCGCCGGCCCUUGGGCAUGUCUGUUGGAACGCAGUGUCAAAGAGGGUGAAAAUCCCGUACAUACCAAGGACGACCGUGUGCAUUGUGGUCUGCUCUCUAAGAGUCGAGUUGUUUGGGAAUGCAGCUCUAAUUGGGUGGUAAAUUCCAUCUAAAGCUAAAUAUCGACGAGAGACCGAUAGCGAACAAGUACAGUAAUGGAAAGAUGAAAAGUAGCCUGCAGAGGCAAUGAAACAAUACGUGAAACCGUUUGUAGGGAAGCGAUGGAACCUUUUCACGCUGCGAGGGUUCAGCUUGGCUUCGGCUUAGUGUAUUCCCUCGUUUUGCGGACCAGCAUCAGUUUGCUUCGCAGUAUAAGGGUGAUUGGAACGUGGCUUCUCCGGAAGUGUUAUAGCCUUUCACUGGAUGCUGUGUCGCAGACUGAGGACUGCAGUGCGCCGUAAGGCAUGGUCUUCGGGCCACGAGCACUUAGGAUGCUGGGCGAAUGGGUUUCAACGACCCGUCU
rnacentral:rRNA from 1 species